rnacentral:lncRNA from 1 species
CCACAAGCUAUUCCAAAAGCAACUUUAUACCUUUUACUCCAAUCCAAUUUGGUUUUAUUUGAACCAUGAAGAACAGAUCAUAUACUUCCCAGUAGGCAGUUCAAAGACGACUGAACCAGAUGUCAAUGCAUUAUUAAUACUAAUACUCGUUAACAAAACAAAUCAGAGAUAUUAGAAAAUAGAAAUAAGAAUAAAUCAUAGGUAGGAUUGACUUGGUAGCACAACUAGAAGAGAGGAGGUAUUUGUGAUUUCUCAUAAAAUAAAAUGCAGUAGAAUAGAUCAAUUGAAUAUAUUCUUAAAC